ACGGGUGAGUAAUACAUCGGAACAUGUCCUGUAGUGGGGGAUAGCCCGGCGAAAGCCGGAUUAAUACCGCAUACGAUCUAUGGAUGAAAGCGGGGGACCUUCGGGCCUCGCGCUAUAGGGUUGGCCGAUGGCUGAUUAGCUAGUUGGUGGGGUAAAGGCCUACCAAGGCGACGAUCAGUAGCUGGUCUGAGAGGACGACCAGCCACACUGGGACUGAGACACGGCCCAGACUCCUACGGGAGGCAGCAGUGGGGAAUUUUGGACAAUGGGCGAAAGCCUGAUCCAGCAAUGCCGCGUGUGUGAAGAAGGCCUUCGGGUUGUAAAGCACUUUUGUCCGGAAAGAAAUCCUUGGCUCUAAUACAGUCGGGGGAUGACGGUACCGGAAGAAUAAGCACCGGCUAACUACGUGCCAGCAGCCGCGGUAAUACGUAGGGUGCAAGCGUUAAUCGGAAUUACUGGGCGUAAAGCGUGCGCAGGCGGUUUGCUAAGACCGAUGUGAAAUCCCCGGGCUCAACCUGGGAACUGCAUUGGUGACUGGCAGGCUAGAGUAUGGCAGAGGGGGGUAGAAUUCCACGUGUAGCAGUGAAAUGCGUAGAGAUGUGGAGGAAUANCCGAUGGCGAAGGCAGCCCCCUGGGCCAAUACUGACGCUCAUGCACGAAAGCGUNGGGGAGCAAACAGGAUUAGAUACCCUGGUAGUCCACGCCCUAAACGAUGUCAACUAGUUGUUGGGGAUUCAUUUCCUUAGUAACGUAGCUAACGCGUGAAGUUGACCGCCUGGGGAGUACGGUCGCAAGAUUAAAACUCAAAGGAAUUGACGGGGACCCGCACAAGCGGUGGAUGAUGUGGAUUAAUUCGAUGCAACGCGAAAAACCUUACCUACCCUUGACAUGGUCGGAAUCCUGAAGAGAUUCGGGAGUGCUCGAAAGAGAACCGGCGCACAGGUGCUGCAUGGCUGUCGUCAGCUCGUGUCGUGAGAUGUUGGGUUAAGUCCCGCAACGAGCGCAACCCUUGUCCUUAGUUGCUACGCAAGAGCACUCUAAGGAGACUGCCGGUGACAAACCGGAGGAAGGUGGGGAUGACGUCAAGUCCUCAUGGCCCUUAUGGGUAGGGCUUCACACGUCAUACAAUGGUCGGAACAGAGGGUUGCCAACCCGCGAGGGGGAGCUAAUCCCAGAAAACCGAUCGUAGUCCGGAUUGCACUCUGCAACUCGAGUGCAUGAAGCUGGAAUCGC
rnacentral:rRNA from 1 species